UACGAAGGGGGCUAGCGUUGCUCGGAAUCACUGGGCGUAAAGGGUGCGUAGGCGGGUCUUUAAGUCAGGGGUGAAAUCCUGGAGCUUAACUCCAGAACUGCCUUUGAUACUGAAGAUCUUGAGUCCGGGAGAGGUGAGUGGAACUGCGAGUGUAGAGGUGAAAUUCGUAGAUAUUCGCAAGAACACCAGUGGCGAAGGCGGCUCACUGGCCCGGUACUGACGCUGAGGCACGAAAGCGUGGGGAGCAAACAGG
rnacentral:rRNA from 1 species